GACGAACGCUGGCGGCGUGCCUAAUACAUGCAAGUUGAGCGCUGAAGGUUGGUACUUGUACCAACUGGAUGAGCAGCGAACGGGUGAGUAACGCGUGGGGAAUCUGCCUUUGAGCGGGGGACAACAUUUGGAAACGAAUGCUAAUACCGCAUAAAAACUUUAAACACAAGUUUUAAGUUUGAAAGAUGCAAUUGCAUCACUCAAAGAUGAUCCCGCGUUGUAUUAGCUAGUUGGUGAGGUAAAGGCUCACCAAGGCGAUGAUACAUAGCCGACCUGAGAGGGUGAUCGGCCACAUUGGGACUGAGACACGGCCCAAACUCCUACGGGAGGCAGCAGUAGGGAAUCUUCGGCAAUAGACGAAAGUCUGACCGAGCAACGCCGCGUGAGUGAAGAAGGCUUUCGGAUCGUAAAACUCUGUUGGUAGAGAAGAACGUUGGUGAGAGUGGAAAGCUCAUCAAGUGACGGUAACUACCCAGAAAGGGACGGCUAACUACGUG
rnacentral:rRNA from 1 species